rnacentral:rRNA from 1 species
AAUCAACGCUGGCGGCGUGCCUAACACAUGCAAGUCGAACGCGAAAAUCCCGCAAGGGAUUAGUAGAGUGGCAAACGGGUGAGUAACGCGUGGGUGACCUGCCUUCGAGCGGGGGAUAACGUUCCGAAAGGGACGCUAAUACCGCAUAACAUCCUGCCUUUGAAGAGGUGGAGAUCAAAGCUGGGGAUCGCAAGACCUAGCACUUGAAGAGGGGCCCGCGUCUGAUUAGCUAGUGGUGAGGUAACGGCUCACCAAGGCUUCGAUCAGUAUCCGGCCUGAGAGGGCGGACGGACACACUGGGACUGAGACACGGCCCAGACUCCUACGGGAGGCAGCAGUGGGGAAUUGUUCGCAAUGGGCGCAAGCCUGACGACGCAACGCCGCGUGGAGGAUGAAGAUUUUCGGAUCGUAAACUCCUGUCGAACGGGACGAAGAGAUCGACGGGUGAACAACUCGUAGUCC